GGAGGCGUGGCAGAGUGGUUUAAUGUACUGGAUUUGAAAUCCAGCGACGGUAACCCGUCCGUGAGUUCGAAUCUCACCGCCUCCG
rnacentral:tRNA from 1 species